rnacentral:lncRNA from 1 species
UUACUAGGGGAGGCUAGAGAUAACAUGUCAGUAAUUGGUAAUAGGCUCUUUUCGUCAAGAGAUUGAUUUUAGGGUAGACUAAGAAAGUUUGCAUGACAAUAUGAUAAAUAAGCUAAGAAGAUAAGAAGAGUAGAUAUAAGAGAAUGGAUAAGAUGAAUUUGUAAACCCCAACAACUCCAUUCAUCCAUAGUCUUUUCUAGCCAAUUGAUUCACUGCAUUUUGCAUGUUUACUUUUAUCCUUUCCAUGCAAAACCUAAAUUUAAUUCCUUUCUCAAGUCUUAUGCAAUUGGUUUACAUGAAAAGCAAGGCCUAAGAGUCCUUUGGGAAACGAUACUCGGACAUAUCCGUUUUAUAUUAUUUGAUAACGAUCUGGUACACUUGUCAUGGACUUAACAGUUAUCAAAUCUCUUUCAUUCAAAAAUACAAAAAAAUUAAUAUACAGAUUUCGUCCUUCAAGUUAGUCAAGUUUUUCUCUCACACAUCACCCUGAUCCCUACCCUUAGUUUUUGACGCCUUAUUUCCUCUUACAUAUAGAGAUUUUGACACCCUGACCGCUACCAAAUUUUUGAUAAAUUGUCUCUUUUCUCCAUAAAUCAAGAUUCUCUCGUUGGGAAUGAUCACUGAUUUCUUCUUCAAAUAAGAUAUUCAAGAUUUCUAUUACAAAGAAAUUCAGAACUUGGCAGCUCUACUAGCAUGGCCUCUCAAGCCCAGUUUAUCUGGCACCCUAAGCCUAGUUUAUCUAGCACCUUUAAGCAUAGUUUGUCUAGCACCUUUAAGCCCAGUUUGUCUAGCACCUCUAAGCCCAAUUUUUUCUGGCACCCUAAGUCUAGUUUCAUUUAGCACCUGUAAACCUAGUUUAUAUGACACCCU